GCGCGCGCGCGCGCUCACGAUCGCGGAACAACACAGCACUGGAGAAAGAAGAUCUGUCCAGCGAGCAAAGGCCAGCCGAGGGAGAUCGUGUGUCAGCCAUCUCGCGCCGCCACGAAAACACGACAGUCGUUCGUCAUGCCUUGGAUAUAACAACAAAUCCUCCACGGCACCCGCUUUAUAUAACGCAAGAAGGCAGCUGCAAGGACACGAGGAUGUGAAAGAGCCAGUGCAGCGCGACUUCACGUAGUGCAGAGGAGCCAAUGCCAAAAAAUCAAACUACAUUGGCAUGUUAUUUGGACAAGAAAACUAGUAUGGACAACCCAGCACGUGCAUUUCUCAGCACCCAGUCAACUGCCAAAAGUGACUCAAACACAGGCCACCAGUGGAGCUCGGCUGUACCACUGCAGUGCUGCGGAAAUUGCCUUCACCAGCGGCUUUGCAACAGCUGUUUCGCAGCGUGUCGGAGACAAUGCCUACGAAAUUAUUGGCCCUGAUCAUGAGCCCUCAAGGGGCAAACAACAUCUCUGUUGCAGAAGUGAGCCCGA